UGCUAGUAUUGUUGCGAUUAUAUGUGUGUGAAAGAGGUUGCUAUUUAUAUUUGGGGAAAGUAUUCUUGAAUAACGUUACUGUUUAAUUUAUACGUUCAUAAGAUUAAUUAAGAGAUUAAAAACGAUUUUCUCGAGUAAUUAUUGAAUAAACGUAUCUUUUUCCUAGAUAAUUAAAUUUACUUCGGUAUUAUCUAUGAUACAGUGUAGAAAGUGCCAUUGAAUAAGAAGAAGUUGUUAGCAAAGUUAGGAUUGGAACUUCAUUCAAUUCAUCAACAACAUACUUCUACAUCUUCAAGUUUCUGAAAAAUAAAACUAGUGAAGUCUGAUUAAGUGUAUUCAAAUAAGACUACAAAUUGUAUAAGCCAUGAGCAAUAUUUUAAAUUAGUUAAGUACAAGGAUAAUGAAAAGAAUUGGAACAAGACUUCGAUGGAGGAAAGAAAACCUGUUUCAAAGAUUGUUUUUCAAUGGAAAAAUUAUUGAAGAUUGUCUCACAAAUAGUACCAUUGACGAAGUAUUAGAAUCUCAUAAUCAUGCCAUAUGAUUCAAGAAAGGUAACCUAAAUGUUAUCAAAAAAGGUAUGUGACAAUUUUCUUUUAUACAGUAUCAAUGGAAGACAAGCUUCUUCAAUACUUUUCUUCAAGCGAUUGGGGUAAAUAUAUAAUAGUUGGAGCAGAGCUUUAGAUAAAAGAAUUCUUUAUCUAAGCCUGUUGCAUCGACUGUAAGACUACUUUUCAGAUUUUUACUGAAAAGUAAAUUUUUAUUUAAAGUAUUUUUUACUCACAAUUUUAGUAAGUCUUUAUUUAUUUUAAUGUAUGAUCUGUUUUAUCAGGAACUAUUUAAGUUUAUCUUAAUUUUUCUAUAGUUUAUUUUUAACUUUUUUUAAUAAACUUUAUAUUUUAUAACUUUUUUUAAGUCUCUAAAAUCUUGAAGCAUGAUUGAUGAUAGCAUAAAAUAAAUGCAAGAAUAUUGAAAAAGACAAAAUUAGAAGGAAGAAAGAUUUUAUUUAAACUCGUAGUAUAUGUAGUUCAAUGAAAAUGGAGGAGUAAAUUUAUAAAGUAUAUAUAAGUAACCUGCAUAUUUUAUUGAAUUUAUUAAGUUGUAUGCAACAGUUCUUUAGAAAAUGCAAAAUUAGCGUUAGUGGGAUAAAUUAUUUGUAAAACUUAUCGUACCUUAUCAUUUUCUAUUUCAUACUGCUAUUAUCCUUUGUAUAUUUAGAAUUUGAAAGUGCAUAUAUUUAUUAUUUAUAAUUUCCAAUCGUUUUGAAUAAUACAAAAUGAAAUUGUAAUUAUAAUAAAUUGCUGUGUUUGAACUGUACCUUUUUAGGUAAUUUUUUAUAACAAACUUAAUAUGAUUGAUAAAGUAAAUUGAAAACAUUAUUUAGAAAUAUAUUAUUUUAUUUAUAUAACUCACAUAAUUAGUCUAAUACUAAAUGCAGAUUAAAUAAUUAAUAUAGAAGAAAAAGAGGAAACAUGAAAAUCAGUGAGUUUGGUAGAGAAAUAGAGAAUACUACAUUUAUGUUUACGUUUAUAGGAUGAUUUGGAGAAGCAGAAAUGACGGAAGUACGGAUAAAAGAGUGCAAAGAAGAAAUAGCCUUUGAGAAUAUCAACAAUCCCACACCCAUCCAGAAAUUUUACUAUGGUGAAAGUAUAUUCAUGAUCAAAUGAACAGGAUUUAUUGGAAAAUUCUUGAUCGAGAAAUCAUUGAGAACAGAUCCUGAUACAAAUCACAUUUAUUUUUUAAUACUUCCAAAAAAAGAGGAGAAUGCUUUAACACAGUGAACUGAUUGAAAAUUUACUUGACUUGGCUUUAUUUGAUCAAAAAUGACCGUCUAAUAUAGCCGAAAUUUGUAAAAUGUCGAAACUAAAGGUGCGAACUUCGUUUUUUAUAAACAAUGAUAAAUAUGAAAGAAGAAAAUAGAUGAAUGGAAUUAUAAAUGGAAGAUGAGAAUAGCAGGAGAAUGAGAGAAUAAUAAUGAAGUAAUAAUGAUUAAAAAACAAAUAACCUAAGAAAAGAAUUUACUACGCGGUCUGUGUAGAUGACUAAGUAACUUUCCUCUUGUUUUUAUUCUUUUUAAAUUUUUUAUACUUUUUAAAUGAAUGUAAAGAAUAAGGCUAAAAGUAGAAGAAAAAUAAAAAAAGCGUCUACUUUAUUGAUUAAUGAAAAAAGAAUACAGAUAAAAAGCCAAAAAAAAGAAAAGAGAAGAUAAAGAAGAAAAUUAUUGCCUUUAAAUAUUCUUUCGUUUAAAAUACGAAUAGGAAGCAAAAGAAAAAAGAGGAUUGCUCGUGACUGACGACAAUAAUUCCAUGGAUUCGACUUCGAAUAGUUAUCGAUCGUUGCCAAGUAUUAAAGACAGACAGGCAAAGAGAAAGACAAAGAGAGAACUUAUCUUCGAAAGCUUAUUUUCAAGUCACAACAUGACCUUAACUUCAACUCGUACCAUUCAUUAUACUUCUUUCUUCUUUCCCGAGUAAUGUAUAAUUCUGUUCGCUCAUAAGUUAGAAGUUUAAGACGGAUAAUGUCUCUUUGAAAAUGAUGAUGAUAUAUGAAGUCGAGAAGAUGGGAAAAGUUUUAAUGACACACCAUGCGAAACUUUUCAACGAUGACGACAACGAAGAUGUAGACGAUGUUUUCAUCACGGGUGGCAGUUAGCUAUCUUGAAUUUUAAAUUUUUCAAACGUAUAACUUUCUUUGCUAUAGAACUUCGAAUUUUUCUUUUUUUUCUACUUCUUUAUUUUCUUUUUCUUUUUUUUUAUUGACUAUUUUCUUUUUUUGCCAUUGCAUCGAACACCACGUUUCGUAGCAGUGAAAAAAAAUUGAAACAGUUGAAUUUGUGGAAGCUAUAAUAUAUGGUGUUUCAUGUCGUGUGAUUGUUAUUGUGCUUGGUUCAAAAUUGACGAAGAAAAAGAAUAGAGAAAGGAAAUAUAAAGUUGCUACGAAGAACAAAAAAUUUCUAAACGGAAAUAGUAAUAUGCUAUACUUAUAGUAUAAUUAUAUUUUAAUCCGAUGUACACAAACGAUGUAAUUGCUUAAUGCAAAGAAGAAAUAGCCUUUGAGAAUAUCAACAAUCCCACACCCAUCCAGAAAUUUUACUAUGGUGAAAGUAUAUUCAUGAUCAAAUGAACAGGAUUUAUUGGAAAAUCCUUGAUCGAGAAAUCAUUGAGAACAGAUCCUGAUACAAAUCACAUUUAUCUUUUAAUACUUCCAAAAAAAGAGGAGAAUACUAAGAGAAUCUAUUGAUCAAUAAUCAAAAACUCAUCUUAAGGAUAUCGAUUGCCACAUACAGUUUGGCUGUUUAUUGCAUCAAAUAAUUUAAUAUAAUACAUCUGCCUUUGCUGUACUUCACGUCAGUGGAUUAUUUUCUGCAUGGUCUUGCAAAGUCAAUCGUGUAUUGGAUGAUCCAUAUGGUCAACAAUGUCAUCCGAAAGAUAUAAUUGUUAAACAGGUACCAGACGACUGAUGAUGAAGUGAAAGAAAAUAAUUAAUAAAUAAUAUAUAAAUAGUUAAAUUAAACUUCUUGUUGUGUGUUCGCAUCAAUUUCGUUUUAAACUUAACCAAUCGUUUCUUUCCGAAUUCAUUAUGCUUUUUUAUUCGAUUGUUUAUUAACGUUUGUUAUUAACACGAAACAACAACGUAUCAAUGGAACUUCAAUCGAGUAACGUUUAACAAUAAAUUCGAGAAUGAAAGAUCGUGCAGCAAGACAGUGAUAAAAAUAGAAAAUGUAUUUGAUGGGACCGUAGGGAGUGGAUAAUAAAUACACUGAAAGUUUUUUUUUUAUUUUCAGAACUCUGUAA